rnacentral:tRNA from 1 species
CGGGCCUGGAGAUGGUUGCGAAUUGGGGGUGGCCUUCGGAGCCAGAGGCCGCAGGUUCGAAUCCUGCAUCGA